CUGACACUGACUUCAAGAUCAGAGCCCGACUAUUGUGGGAGCUACCCUCUGUUUUUGAACUCCUCAAUUGCUUUAAGGGCUGAAGAAGAAGAGGCUCUUGGCCUAAUGCUGGAGAGCCCAGUUUUGCUGCUCAGUCUCAGGAGUGCUGUAGAGCCCAUCCUGGCUUAGAGGAAAUAAUAUCUUGCACCUGCCAAAGCCCAGGAGCAGGUUGUGUUGUCUCUCUGGCAGCUCUGAAGAUCAGGUAAAAGAGGAUUUUUACACUUCUCUCACCUCCUUCUCCAUCCAAAAUGCAACAAUCUGUCUGGCCUCUGUGAUCAGCUGGAGGGAGCAGGAAAAAGGAAAUGAACAGAAUGAAGAUCAAAUGGAAAGAGGGAAGAAAUAAAAAGAAAAGAUGCCUUUUAAGCUAAUUACAUGCUGGGUCCACAGCACAUCCUAUAGGUGCUUUGGGAUCAAGGCAAGAAGAGAAAUGUUGGGUUUUAGGGACAGAAAUCUGAAAAUGAACCAGGUCCUCAUGGUUUAUUUUGUACUCUUCAUGUUAAUAUUGUAUUUAUUUUACAUUGCCCCCAGAUUAUUUGUGUUUCAAAUUCUUGCACCAGUCAUGUGUCAUGGAAGAUAUCAACACUGGAAAUUGUUGAUUUGGGGAGAGGCAGAACAAAAAGCAAGGGAAUUAAAAAUUAAAGCACCUGGGCCUCUGCAAGAGCACGGAUAGGUGGUGUUGGUGUUUUCAACUCUCUGCCUUCAGUUUACACCCAUGAGUUAUCUGGGGGCCUAAGGCUUUGGGAAAUUAGGAGAGACAGAUCUCAGGCUGGUGGCUGAGUGAAAACGUGAAACAAGACAAGAAAAGCCAACUUGUCUGGCCCACCUGAAGGAAAUUACACUACUUUUUUAUGCCAGAGGAAAGUGGGGAAGGACAAGGGCUCUGUGUGUGCCCUUGGAGCCAGAAGCUGCUGCAGCAGUGGCACAGCCAUCAGCACAGACCUGCAGCACCGAAAAGUCAUGUCUCAGAGGUGUUUCUGCUCUUUUAUUCCUGGGGAAAAUCAGCUGAAUGAGCAGGGUUGUGUCUGCCUCUCCUCAGUGCCACACAUCAAGGCGUUUCUAUUCCGACAUGGAGUGAGAAGGUGAAAAGCAUAAUUAGUGCACCACAAGUAGCUGGAUGGACUGUAAGUCAAUUAGUCUGCUCUGAAUCUCAGUUCUGAGUUGCUGGGAGAAGAAAAUGAUCAGUGUUCUGUGUGAAUACCCAGCUGAUCAGCUCAUUCUUUACCGAAAUGGUUUUCCAUUGGUCUCUAAGGCUGGGCACAAUCUGUAAAUACUGCUGGUUUUGGUAGAUGUCUAAGGCAGUUUCUGUCUGCAGUGAAAACAGGGGCUCUUUGGGUAAUACUGCAACAGGAUUAGCUGGAGGGAUGAACUGCAGAGGGCCUUAUCAGCUGAGACAAAACGUGGUGUCCCUUUGCCUUAGGGUUUGAUUUGAGCCUGCAGGAGUUCUUGAAAAUGACAUCCUAUAGAUUCACACACAGAUAAGGAUCACACAGGCCUUGUUUGGAGCAUAUAAAAAUAUUUCUGAUCCUGCCCUUUUGUACCUGCUGGCCAGUGAUGGAUAAAGGGGAGUGCCUGGCUGCUGUGAGUGCUGAGCCCUGCUCUCUGGAUGCCAUCCUGAUUGAUUUGCUUGUGCCGUGCAGGGAGGUGGAAGCUGCACUUGCUGGCUGCAGCUGAAUUACAAUCAUGGCAUGAUUUCGCUGUGAGGGACUCUGGAGGUCACCUGGAGCAGCCUCCUCUUCAAAGAAGGGCUUUGUGGGGACUUCAUUCUCCAUUUCUGAAAAAAACUUACUGCAUUUCUGGUGAUGCCCCUGUCUGAAAUUUCCUGGGUGCUCGUGGUGUGCCCUGAAACACCCCAUUGCCAGUAUAUCCUUGCUCUUCCUGGGCAUUCCUUGGGAUAAGACAUCCCACAGAUGGUUCCUAACCCUGUGACAGGCACUGACUGCAACAGGGGAAUGCUGGGAGACCAUCCAUCAUCCCACUGCUUUUGUCCAAGUCCUGAUGGGCCACAGAUGUCACAGAACUUGUCAACCUUUGCUGUGAGGGGCCCUUCCAACGAGCAGAUGUCUGUGUUACUGACUGUCCAAAGGAAGAUUUCAUCCAAAAAUGAGAGAGCUGUUCUCAUCACAAGCUGGCUUGAAAGCACAUACAACUUUUAACAGACCAACGUGAAUUUAUUUGAGUACAAAUGCAUAAUAUCAGUUAUAGAGUCUGCUAAAGAGUUUGGAAUAAAAUGAGAAAGAGGCAGAAUCCAAUAAGGAAAAACUCCUCUAGGGAAAUAACUUCGUUUAGAACAAAAUUUACUUGGAUAAGCAGCAAGCAGACCCUGUAAAUUGUUAUAUCAUUAAAGUGUGUCUCGCAUGGCUGCGUGUGUGUGCAUCCUCUGUGGCGUGGUGCCUAAACAUCCAGACUUCCCAAAUCCCAAUACAACUCUGAGGAGCCAUGCUCAAGGAAGAGACAGGUGUUUUUGGAGAUGUCUGCAGGAGCUGUAAAAAACAGGUGCUUGCUAAAGCACUCCUUGGAGUGACUAUAACCAAAGGAGCAGUACUUGGAGGGUCUGUGAGUAAGUAGGGAUGGCUGUACAGGGUGUGUACAGCUUGAGAAAAGCUACUGAUCUUUUAAUAAAGAUUAAAUCCCAAUCUAUACCUCCCAUUAAAGUCAAUUAGAACAGAGGUUGCUAGGUACUGGGGGGGAAAUAAACUCCUGGUUUUACUGUUUGUGUGCUAAGUGAAGGCAAGGGAGGAGUUCUGCCCAGGAUCUGAGCUGCCCUGGGCAGGGCAAAGCCUCUUUCCCGUGCUUGUUUGAGCACCCAGCUGUCACUUGGACCUGCUGCUGGAAGUGCUGAUAGCUGAGAUGCAGAUCCCAAAGAUCUGCUGUCCCUCCUGCUCCAUUCCUGUGCUUCCCCACGCCUGGUUUGCAUGCACAGCCUUGCCCUAAAGAGGGAAUUCUGACAGGCAGCUCCUGUGUGCAGGGAUGAGCUCAGUGAAACAUGGAAACCAGUGUUUGCCUGGAGGUCCUCAGCACAGCAGCAAAGCCCCAGCGCUAAAAGCAGAUGGUGGGAAGAGUCUCUGUUGAUGAGGAAAGGAAAAAAAGUAACAGUGAUGCUGCUAAUGAAUUAUGCUUAAUAACUACCUUAGAACUCAGUCCUUUAGUACUUCACAAGCUCUCCUGAAACCCCUGUCCAGCAGAGUGUUUGCUAUCAGUAGCCUGGUUGAUUCACACCAUUUCUCAGAGCAGCAGCAAUUCCUGGUAACAAGUGUUUAUAGGGCUGGAGACCUUCUGUGGUGGAGGGCAGCAGGUGAGCACGCUGCCCGUUCAUAACUGACAGCACCAUUAACAAGGGCUGGGGAAAUGUUUACCUAAACCCUCAGUUGGGACUGGCAAUGCCCAGAACUGCCUGUGAUUUACCUGCCAGGCAGAUACAAGCACCUACAUUAUUCCUAUUUUAGGACACUUACUGCUUACUUGCCAGAUUUGCUGCUAUUUAAAAUUAUUCCGGUGACUUAUCACACUUUAUAGCUUGGUGGAAUGGACCAAAGGCCUUCCCAGCACAAAACUCCUUCCUGACAGCAUUAGCAGUGUUCUGUUGGAGCUAUCAUGGAUAUGGAUGAUAUCUGUUAUAGACUGAUUGAUUUAGCUGGGAAAAAACAGUGCUUUUGUGUACAGAAAUUUCAUUUCUUUCUGGUGUGGAGCAGAAAACUUAAAACUUGCCAUGUCUCCUUCAGACCUGAAUAAAACCUUGUUCCUGUUAGUAGCCACAGCUGCUGUUUUUACAUGGCAGUGAUGGUCUGUGUCUGACCACCCAACAGCUCAGCUUUAUGGGACACUGGUGUCUGGAGGGUGGAAAAUGGGUGGGAUGCAAUUCCUUCUUCCAGAGUAGCCAAGAGCCAUGUAGGCAUCUUGCUGGGGCCUCUUUUCUUCUCUUGCAUGCAAAGCAUAAAAAAGAGAGACUCACUGGGGCAGAAAUUGACUUUGGGGAACAAGAGUAUGGAUAGCAGCUGAAAUCCCACUGUCACCUCUCUCUUACUCCAAAAGUUCUGUGAAUGCUGUUGUGCUUUAAUUGUCCCUGUGCUGGGACUGAAUUUAUUAAUGGGACUCUUGGAUAGCCUGCAAUUCUUUAAUAUCACUGAGCUUCUGUGGGGCAAACAUAAUUUUCUGUUCAUGUACUAUCCCCACUCCCUCUGCUUGAUCUAAAAACUUCACAAAGCGUGAGGUUAGAACCUCUGCCACAGUGGUUUUUUUUUUUUCUCUCUCGAGGCUGUUGCUGAUUCAGAGUUAAUCCUUUCCAGAAUGUCUCAAUGUUUUCUGUAAUCUUGAUAUGAAGCCGCUCUUCAGUCAACUCCAAGGAAAAUUCUUGCAUUUUUUACCUGGUUGCUCUGCUCUUGGUUUCCUUCACUCCUAGUCUGCCUGAACUGGUGCCACUAACAUUGUUUUUCUUUUGCAUUUGCACUUUUCUGACUACAUUGCACGUUAGACUUCUACUCCUUUUCAAAAAAUAUCUUUUUCCUACCCUUUCCCACCCUUUGCUUUCCCUUUUCACAGUGAGUCCACACAUUCAUAAAAGACACAUAUUCCCUAAAAGGGAAUAAACCAGGAGCUGGUUUCCUUCUCUAAAUUUGGGAAUGGCCAAGUUUGAGCCAAGAAAGUGCACUAGAACUCAGUGGCUUUUGAAGCCUGUGUGCAGCUCCCAGUGGCUGUGGCGUGGGCUUGGACGACUUUAUCAGGUGUAACAAAGUCAUAUCCAUCAAAAGCAGCUGGAGGAGCCAGCAAAUGCUAUUCAGCAGCAUGUCCACUUCCCAUCAACAUGCCAUGAAUCUCCCUCCUUGCUCCUUUGGCUGACUGAGAGCCCAGCAAGUCUGUGGCCCUUUUCCAUGGCUUGAUUUUCAAUUAAGAGAUAAUGUCAGUGGAAGAGCACAGUUCAUCAGACAUUGUUGUUGCAGAAGGCAGAGAUGUGGUGAGCAGAGGUCAACUGCUCAAAAUCUACACGCCUGGCUAAAAUAUUGUAUAAUAUGUUGGCUAAUUUUACUUCAUUUUAUAUUCACAUAUAUUAGUGCAGCUUUUGUUAUAUUCUUAUCCUUAUGUAAGUUACAUCUGUUCUUUUAUUCACUCAUCCAUGUUUGCUCUGCUUUCAGAUUUAUGAAACAGGCAUUCCACUGAGCUCAGCAAAUGAUGGGCAUAAUAACUUAUCUAAAUUGCAAAGUAUGUGAUGCCCUUGAGGUAAACUCAGUUGUGAAGGUUUUAUGAAGUGUCUCACAUGUGGAAGUGGAGGAAAGUGUUUAUUUGCCAACUCCUGUCUCUCCUUUGGCUGUUCAAAUGAUGUUAAGAGGAUCCUGUGAAACUGCUACAAAAGCCUGGGGGCUAAAUGGAGGGGAGAAGUAGAGCUGCAUUAUUAUCUUGGUAGAGAAAGCAGAGCCAUCCUGGCACUUCCACUUACACAGCUCUUCCCUCCUUGGAUGUCAAAAGUUUCUGGUUGGCAGGCUCUGAAGUAUCUAUUUAUUUAAUGAAAUGCCUCUCACUGUAACAAUAUUGUGAGGCUUUAUUAAUGAAUUUAUGGUUAUGAGAUAGGAAAGUAAUCUCUUUUUUCUUUCUUUUUUUUUCUCUUACAACACUGCAGAGGGGCAAAGGCUCUGUAGAGGAAAGGGGUGCUCUUUUAUUUAUCUGAGAUACUCUAACCCCCUCUGCCUCCCUGUGACUGCUGUAAAGUCCUUCACUGACUAUGCAGGGUCCUGAUUCCUUGAGUUAUUCAGCUUUACUGUCAGUCCCAGCACUGAUGUGCACGUCAGAUGUCACCAAAGAAGCUCAUCAAUAACAGCCAGAUCUGGCUGUUUGGGGAGUGUCCCCCUCUGCCUAAAUCUCAGUGUCUGGAGUUUUGUGAGACAGAGCUGAGUUACCAUCCUAAUUUCCCUCAAAAUCUCUUGGAGUUUCCUGUUCAUUACUGCUGAGCCUUGUGCAGCAGAGAUAAUUGCUUAAACCAGUAGGCUAAAUAAUUAUUGCUAAAAUAAUAAAUUCAACUAUAAUUUGAAUUAAAAAGAGAAUUUACACUUUAAAAUCCAGUAAGCAAAAAUACAUUUCUACCUGUCUACUGUGAAGACUUAAGCCCCUUUUAGAAAGAGAUUUGAUUCUCUUUUCCUUCAUGUUUUCUAUUGACAAUUUUAGGUGGGAUUCCCAUGCAUAAGAGGGAUCUUCAGAGAGGUUCAUUCUCAUGCAAUGCUGAAGUUGUGAUAUUUAAAUUCCUUCAAGGCUCAAUUUAUAACACAUUUUGGACAGAGCCAGUAACCAAAAAAGUAAUCCUAAGCCUUAGUAUGUUGCCUCAAAUCCUCUGUGAGCCCAGUGGUCUGGCCACAAGCAAGUUGAGUUUGGGAAUUUCUGGCAGCUAUAAAAAGAAGGAAGUGGGUAAAUUUAUCUUAGGAGUGUCCAUAUUCCUGAAGUAGGCUGAGACUCAGUCCCUCCAUUAAUUGCUGGAAAGCUUUGAGGGUGCCUGUUUCCCUCAAUUGCUGGCCAAAUCUUAUCCAGGGGACUGUGAGCAGAAAUGUAAGUAAAAUUCUGCAGAAUAGGGACAUUGGGAGACUGACCAGACCCAUUUUCCCUGACUCUGAGACACUGCUCAGGACACCUAGGACAUGGGUAAAGGCUCUGUGGGAGGAUGUUUCUCACUCUCCCAAGGCAAUUUGGCCUUUCCUGGUCAGUUCUCCUCGUGGCUGCAGGCACAGCCUGAUAGUACUGAGAGAAGAACCUUCCAUGCUCUGAUGUUCUCUUUUUUCCAGCUAAUUAUGAAGUAAUUUUUCAUUUUCUGGUGUUUAAGCUCACAAAAUAAUUAGCCCAUUUGAUAAAUUAGUUGGCUUAAAAAUGUAAAUCUGUCAGUGAAUUGGAUGAGCAGUGCAGCACCCAAACCACUUGAAGCUACAGAUCUAUUGCUCCUUUGUCAGUCCUGUAAAUUCAAAAUUGUUCAGAUUAAUUCCGAGCUAAUUUCAUAAACCCUCCACUAUGACAAGAGAAAAAGUGUUUGGGUGUCAGGCUUUGUGCCCUUUGAUGUCAGAUUUCAGCCUGAAUGAAUUUUUUAUGGCUGACUCUGGAAUAUAAAACCCUGAAAACAAUGGUUUGUAAUGGCAAUUCUGACAGAUCCUUUAACCAUUUGGAAAAUAGGCACUGCUAUAACCCUGCUGCAUUAGAGAAAACUGUUGAGUGCUUUCAUUAGGUGCAACAGCUGUUUCUAUUGCAAAAGCCAAACUUCACUGGUGGGAGCAUAGCUGUCAGCUUUCCAGAGCUUUGCAUUUAUAGCUGAUUGUAUAAACUCCUUUAUGUUCUGUUUUUUGCUUUCCAAUAUAUGUAAAUUCAUUCAAUAGCAAAAAUACAAAUAACUACCUUGAAACUAGAUGUGUGUGAAGGUUCUUUGUAGGCUCCUGCAAUCAGUGUCGUGUGAUGAGGGAGCUGAGGAAUCCUGAACUCUUGGAAAUGGCUCUAGCUCAAGUGAUGUGGUAAUCCACACCACAGAAAAUUUUAAUCACCAGAUUUAAUCCUCCUCCUUGGUAAUGUGUUAGAGACCUUUAACCUAAUGUAAAAUUCUUAAUUAGAGCCGAUUUAAAAAACAACAACCACAAACCAGCAAAAAAUCCAACAAACCCCUCUCCCCCGACUCCCUGAGUGUUCUCCUGUCUCUUCUAUUUAAACAGAUUUUUUUUCCUAAGAACAUGCUGAAUAUGCUGAAAUGUAUUUUUUUUUGGAAAAAAGUAAAGUUGAUGAUGCUUUUCAUUUCUUUGUUCUGACAUAAUGCAGAAAAAUAUUUUAGUAUUAUGAAACAAACAGUGAGUUCUGCCUGGAACAAGAUGCCUCAAAUCAAAUAGUUAUGUGAGUUGUCAGAAAUUAAAUGCAAACAUAUGCUCAGAAUGCAAACGAAUUUUGAAGCACCAAAUUUUGUAAUGGCAGGGAGCAGGUUUUAAUGCAUUCAGUAAAUUUCAAUCCCAAAUAUUGAGUUAUGCACAGACUUGUGUGGCAUAAUAUGGGAUACCAGUCCAUUUGUAGAUGUUAGCUUGAUUUUUGUUAAAAUUAUACAGAAAAGUAUCCAGAGAUAUAUAAAGGAUGUACAUAUGUACAGACAAUACACCAAAGAAAAUACUUUGUUUUACUGAAUUUGCAGUGAGAUAUUAGU